AGAUGGUACACUUACUUGAAUUCUGAUUUCAAGAAAGGGGGUGGUCUCCAGAGGAAGACUUGCUUUUAUGUGAGAUAAUGCCAAGUGUAUUUCAAAAUUAGAUAAUUAUUUCUCCAUUAUUGUUUGUGGGAAUUUGAUAUCUUAAGAUCCACUGCAGGCUCGAAAAGUAUUUGGUAACAGAUGGAUUGAAAUAGCCAAAGUGGUCUCAGGGAGAACUAAUAAUGCUGUGAAGAACUGAUUUUCCAGUGUGUAAGAAGAGGGCAAAAUAUGAAGCCUUAAUGAAAGAGAAUGAUAACACUUCAUACAUCAAUCCAAACAACAAAAGGGUUAUCUUUCGAGAAGUUGUAGCAUUAAAUUUCCAAGGAUAUAAAUUAGAAUUUUUAUGGUCUUCAAUUUGGCAUUGUAAUUCAAAUUUGAGCCAAUUUGUGUUCUUUUAUAUUAAUUAUUAGUCAAUUCUUAAUC